GACGAACGCUGGCGGCGUGCUUAACACAUGCAAGUCGAACGGAAAGGCCCUGCUUUUGUGGGGUGCUCGAGUGGCGAACGGGUGAGUAACACGUGAGUAACCUGCCCUUGACUUUGGGAUAACUUCAGGAAACUGGGGCUAAUACCGGAUAGGAGCUCCUGCUGCAUGGUGGGGGUUGGAAAGUUUCGGCGGUUGGGGAUGGACUCGCGGCUUAUCAGCUUGUUGGUGGGGUAGUGGCUUACCAAGGCUUUGACGGGUAGUCGGCCUGAGAGGGUGACCGGCCACAUUGGGACUGAGAUACGGCCCAGACUCCUACGGGAGGCAGCAGUGGGGAAUAUUGCACAAUGGGCGGAAGCCUGAUGCGGCAACGCCGCGUGCGGGAUGACGGCCUUCGGGUUGUAAACCGCUUUCGCCUGUGACGAAGCGUGAGUGACGGUAAUGGGUAAAGAAGCACCGGCUAACUACGUG
rnacentral:rRNA from 1 species